UGUUCUGUGGUUUAGUCGGUUUAAACGCUGGUCUCUAGCCAAUACGGAAUCGUGGGUUCGAAUCCCAUCAGAACGC
rnacentral:tRNA from 1 species